AAAGACUAAGCCAUGCAUGUCUAAGUAUAAGCAAUUAUACAGUGAAACUGCGAAUGGCUCAUUAAAUCAGUUAUAAUCUACACGAUUGUGCUUGCUAGAUGGAUAACCCUGGCAAUUCUAGAGCUAAUACAUGAUAAAACACGGGUGACCGUGGUGUUCAUUAGAUUCAAAAACCAAUGCCUUCGGGCUCUAUGGUGAUUCAUGAUGACCUCUCGAAGCGCGUACUUACGUAGCGCUGGUUCGUUCGAAUAUCUGCCCUAUCAACUUUAUCGCAGGGUAGUGGCCUGCGAUGGUUUCAACGGGUAACGGGGAAUUAGGGUUCGAUUCCGGAGAAGGAGCAUGAGACACGGCUCCUACAUCCAUGGAAGGCAGCAGGCGCGCAAAUUACCCAAUCCUGACACGGGGAGGUAGUGACAAGAAAUAACGGCACAGGGCCUUUGGUCUUGUGAUCGGAAUGAGAACAAUUUAAUUUACUUAUCGAGGAACAAUUGGAGGGCAAGUCUGGUGCCAGCAGCCGCGGUAAUUCCAGCUCCAAUAGCGUACAUUAAAGUUGUUGCAGUUAAAAAGCUCGUAGUUGAAACUUGGGCCGUGUCGAGGGUCUUUCUCACGAAGGUACUUGAGACGGGGUCUUUUGCCGAGGCUCUGGUCUGCGUUUAAUCGCGUGGGUCAGUAGGUCCGGCGCUUUACUGUGAGGAAAUUAGAGUGUUCAAAGCAGGCGUAUUGCUCGAAUAUAUUAGCAUGGAAUAAUAGAAUAGGACGGAAGGUUUUAUUUUGUUGGUUUCUAGAACCGUCGUAAUGAUUAAAAGGAGCAGUCGGGGGCGCUAGUACUCAUCAGUCAGAGGUGAAAUUCUUAGACCUGAUGAAGACUAACUACUGCGAAAGCAUUCGCCAAGGAUGUUUUCAUUAAUCAAGAACGAAAGUUGGGGGAUCGAAAACGAUCAGAUACCGUUGUAGUCUCAACCGUAAACGAUGCCGACUCGGGAUUGGAUGAGUGUAUUUUAUUAGCUCUUUCAGCACCGUGUGAGAAAUCAAAGUUUUUGGGCUCUGGGGGGAGUAUGGUCGCAAGGCUGAAACUUAAAGGAAUUGACGGAAGGGCACCACCAGGAGUGGAGCCUGCGGCUUAAUUUGACUCAACACGGGGAAACUCACCAGGUCCAGACACAAUAAGGAUUGACAGAUUGAGAGCUCUUUCAUGAUUUUGUGGGUGGUGGUGCAUGGCCGUUCUUAGUUGGUGGAGUGAUUUGUCAGCUUAAUUGCGAUAACGAACGAGACCUUGACUUUUAAAUAGGUAAGCUAACAGUUUUGUUGGCUGUACCUUCUUAGAAGGACUAUCAGGGACAACCUGAUGGAGGUUCGAGGCAAUAACAGGUCUGUGAUGCCCUUAGACGUUCUGGGCCGCACGCGCGCUACACUGAUACUGUCAACGAGUAUAUAUCCUUGUCCGAGAGGGCUAGGUAAUCUUGUUAAACGGUAUCGUGCUGGGGAUAGAGCUUUGCAAUUUUUGCUCUUGAACGAGGAAUUCCUAGUAAGCGCAAGUCAUCAGCUUGCGUUGAUUACGUCCCUGCCCUUUGUACACACCGCCCGUCGUUACUACCGAUUGAAUGACUUAGUGAGGCCUUUGGACGUGUAGCUACAGAGGGCGACCUCUUUUGCUUUAUGAAAAUUGGACGAACUUGGCCAUUUA
rnacentral:rRNA from 1 species